rnacentral:lncRNA from 1 species
UUACGCUCUCCCAUCUAUAAAAGAGACACCCUAGAUACGUUUUUCUCUAAGCUCUAAACUCUAUCUCAAAACUCUGCUAAAAUCUCAUUCGAGUUCUCUAUUUCUGUUGAGGCAGAGUACUGACCUGAGCAUCAGAGGGUCUUGCCGGAGCACCCCCAACUCCAGUUUAGACUUUCCUUGCAGGUCCCAGCGGCGGCCAC